rnacentral:rRNA from 1 species
AGAGUUUGAUCCUGGCUCAGGAUGAACGCUGGCGGCGUGCCUAACACAUGCAAGUCGAACGAAGUCUUCGGACUUAGUGGCGGACGGGUGAGUAACGCGUGAGAACCUGCCUCGAGGAGGGGGAUAACAGCGGGAAGCUGCUGCUAAUACCCCAUAUGCCGAAAGGUGAAAAGAAAUUUGCCUUGAGAGGGGCUCGCGUCCGAUUAGCUAGUUGGUGAGGUAAGAGCUUACCAAGGCGACGAUCGGUAGCUGGUCUGAGAGGAUGAGCAGCCACACUGGGACUGAGACACGGCCCAGACUCCUACGGGAGGCAGCAGUGGGGAAUUUUCCGCAAUGGGCGAAAGCCUGGCGGAGCAACGCCGCGUGGGGGAAGAAGGCCUUUGGGUUGUAAGCUCCUUUUCUCAGGGAAGAAGAACUGACGGUACCUGAGGAAUCAGCCUCGGCUAACUCCGUGCCAGCAGCCGCGGUAAUACGGAGGAGGCAAGCGUUAUCCGGAAUUAUUGGGCGUAAAGCGUUCGUAGGCGGCGUUUCAAGUCUGCUGUCAAAGGCCGAGGCUCAACUUCGGAAAGGCAGUGGAAACUGAAAAGCUAGAGGUCGGUAGGGGCAGAGGGAAUUCCCAGUGUAGCGGUGAAAUGCGUAGAUAUUGGGAAGAACACCGGUGGCGAAAGCGCUCUGCUGGGCCGAACCUGACGCUGAGGGACGAAAGCUAGGGGAGCGAAUGGGAUUAGAUACCCCAGUAGUCCUAGCCGUAAACGAUGGAGACUAGGUGUUGCCUGUAUCGACCCGGGCAGUGCCGAAGCCAACGCGUUAAGUCUCCCGCCUGGGGAGUACGCACGCAAGUGUGAAACUCAAAGGAAUUGACGGGGGCCCGCACAAGCGGUGGAGUAUGUGGUUUAAUUCGAUGCAACGCGAAGAACCUUACCAGGGCUUGACAUCCCGCGAAUCUCGGCGAAAGUUGAGAGUGCCUACGGGAACGCGGAGACAGGUGGUGCAUGGCUGUCGUCAGCUCGUGUCGUGAGAUGUUGGGUUAAGUCCCGCAACGAGCGCAACCCUCGUCCUUAGUUGCCAUCCUUAAGUGUGGCACUCUAGGGAGACUGCCGGUGAUAAACCGGAGGAAGGUGGGGAUGACGUCAAGUCAUCAUGCCCCAUAUGUCCUGGGCGACACACGUACUACAAUGGUCGGGACAGCGAGCAGCCAACUUGCGAAAGUGAGCUAAUCUCUCAAACCCGGCCUCAGUUCAGAUUGCAGGCUGCAACUCGCCUGCAUGAAGGAGGAAUCGCUAGUAAUCGCAGGUCAGCAUACUGCGGUGAAUCCGUUCCCGGGCCUUGUACACACCGCCCGUCACACCAUGGAAGUCGGCCAUGCCCGAAGUCAUUACUCUAACCGUUCGCGGAGGAGGGUGCCGAAGGCAGGGCUGAUGACUGGGGUGAAGUCGUAACAAGGUA